ensembl:lncRNA
CAGUGAUUAAGGUCUGGUGUUUAUCAGGAUAGAUCAGGCAGUCUGCUCGGAGUAAGUAAAAGAAGAAAAAUAGAUACUGAUCAUCUUUAAUGUAGGAGCAAGUUCUGAGGUCUUUAGCAUUCUUUUGUUCUGUGUUUGUGCACCACUUAGAGAUUGUGUGGUACUGAUCUGCGCACUCGUGAUAAGCCCCUAGACAUCUUUCUUGAAGGCAUGAAGUUGUGUUGCCACAGGCAGAGACUCUGGGCUCUCCCCCACAGCCACAAGUGAAGGAAGCUUUGGGCUUGUGGGUGCAAGCACAGAAGCUGGACCCCCAUGUAGGAUUACGGUAAACUUGUCAAUCAGUGCCCAGAGGCAGUCAACACAAUGCAGUUGUGCCAGAUACGUAGAGUGACUUGCCAAGAUACUCUCUCUGCAUCACUGAGUUGUAUUUCUUCAUAGCCCCUUAGAGAAAUGGAUGAAGAUACAUAACUGCUGCUGUUUUACUGAGGCAGCAGAGGCUCGCAGCAUGGUGGACUGGGGUCUGCUCAAGGCUGUGCUCCCACCCUGAAUCGUGCCUCAGGUGGCUGCAGUGUCCUUGCACCCUUGCAGAAAAGGAGUCCUUUGCAAAUGAGUUGUCAGAGCCUGUGGCUGAAUGAUGGGGAGAACCAUGCUGCAGAACAGAGUGACCCAGGAGAGGCACCACAAUGGGGCCACUGACACCUGCAGUGCCACAAACCCACACGCAAUCUCCCUCUGGGUAGACCCAGACAGUUCUCUGCUGAGACCAGAGUGAGACAAGCACAGCUGACAUGGUAGAAAGGCGUUGAUCCCACAUACUGCUCAGUGGUAUGGAGCAGAAGAGAUUUUUUCUUUGAGCUUCACUCAAAUCAAAGGAAUCCUUCACUGGAGAAUUAAGACCAUUUUGUUUCAGAUUCUAAUCCAGCUCUUAAAAAAAAAAAAAAAAAAAGAACCAUUAAGGUACUGCACUGUAGAACCAUUAAGGUACUGCACUGUAUUUAUCAGAAGACCACAUGCUCCCUCUUCCACCCAGCUUGCAAGUUUUCUCAUACCCAUUCUCAUUUCAUGCUUGUGUUUCAGCUGGGGAACACUGCUGCAGAGAUGUGCUCAGCAUUUCAGGAGAUCUUUGCAGAGCAGAAUUUCUACUUUGUUUUCAUGUUUAUUUAUUGACAUUCAUGCUGUGGGACUCAUCUCUGGUGGGGCUUACUCCCGCCUCAGUGGCUGUGGCCUGGGG